AGAAUGGAAGGUGACAGCACAAAGGGAGGAAAAAUUAUCAGUGACACAACCUGAGGUUGUGGUUGCCGAGCUCCUGUUCUGACAUCCAAAAAAGCACUGGCCCACAACAGUGAACUAAGACAACUUAAUUGCUGUUUCAGGAUAAUUACUGUUUGUUGCUGUUCCUCCUUCCAUAUGCAUUAGCCCAUAUGAGCCAUUUAGAUUCCCGUUUGCAGCCUCCUGGGCUCUCUAGCAUUGCCCCAUUACAGUUUAGCUACAACAGGGUCAUCUCAGAAAUUGUGGCAAAAUAACAGGAUCAGCCAGCGCUGGAAACACCCAGUAUCCAUAAUAAUAUCUUCCAUGCAGCUCCUGACUGUCACUCAACUUUCUUGGCAACCACUCAAGUGUUCUCACAAUUCAGCAACUGCUAUACAAGGGACUAAAGCUCUACAGUAGAAAGCAGAAAAAAAAUUAAUAUCUUUGGAAAAGACUGUAUUCAAGUUAAACAGCUGAUUGAAGGAACUCAUGGUUCAUGCCUGUUUCCCAGUAGCAACGGCAUGAUGCUACCAGCCAGGGUAUUUGUCCUUCACGAAAGUACCACAGCUGUCAGCACCAUCAGAGGUGCUGGAGCGAUGAGCGGUCUGCAGUCAGCAUAUCCAAAGCUGUUCCUUUCUGCAACUAUUCACCAUCACAGAACACACCACUACAGAAAUAUGGAAGAUCCAUUUCCUGUAGGAAAAUAAUAAAGCCUUCUCUUUACCAACAAAUUCUAAUUAACUACUCAAGAGAAACAGACUGGAUGAAAGGAGAUCUCCGCUCAGGAAUUAAGUCUUCACAUUCCAGGGCACACAGAACAGAGGACUGCAAGGUAUGCAUCUUUUCCCAGAAGAUCUACCAAAAGAAAAUAAUAGUGUCCUUGGCAGUGACUGCCCAGACUGACUGAUGGCCUGAAUCCUUUGCCCCAUGAUAAACACACAGCAGCUCCUUUUAAGCUACUUUUGCACCAAGAAAGCUCUAACAACCAAUACUGCCAAAGCCCCUCUGCACACAACCCACCAGGGAAGACCUCCUCCAGGAAGGGUCAGCUCUCUCCCCAGAACUGAAAUCCAGCCCAGCAGGGAGCACUCAGCUCUGGCUUCCCACCAGCUCACUCAUUGCCCGUUUCAUCACCCACAGACUGUCUUGUACCCAUUCUGCAGACACAGUGCCACUCCCCUAGCUGGGCUGCAAAGAGUUAUCUGACAGUCCAGGCUCUCUCACCAUUCAUGACUUGGGACUGUCACCCACUGUUGUCCAAAGACAUUGAGAGAAGUACCGUUUCUGCCUAAUCUGGGCCGUGACUGAAGUUGUCAGGAAUUGAGACAGAUUCUCCAUCUCCGUUGUCACGGUAGGCAUCUUAAGAUUGUAUGGGAAAGAGACUAUGCAUAAAUCCACAAAAUAUUAGUGGAAGAAAAUAAAAUAAAACAGGCUAAUUUGUGCUAAUAAAAUCAU